GACGAACGCUGGCGGCGUGCUUAACACAUGCAAGUCGAACGGUAAGGCCCUUCGGGGUACACGAGUGGCGAACGGGUGAGUAACACGUGGGUGAUCUGCCCUGCACUUCGGGAUAAGCCUGGGAAACUGGGUCUAAUACCGGAUAGGACCACUGCCUACAUGGGUGGUGGUGGACAGCUUUUGCGGUGUGGGGUGGGCCCGCGGCCGAUCAGCUUGUUGGUGGGGUGAUGGCCUACCAAGGCGACGACGGGUAGCCGGCCUGAGAGGGUGACCGGGAGGCACGGGACUGAGAUACGGCCCAGACUCCUACGGGAGACAGCAGUGGGGAAUAUUGCACAAUGGGCGCAAGCCUGAUGCAGCGCAGCCGCGUGAUGGAUGACGGCCUUGGGGUUGUAAACCUCUUUCAGCACCGACGAAGAGCAAGUGACGGUAGGUGCAGAAGAAGGACCGGCCAACUACGUGCCAGCCGCCGCCGUAA
rnacentral:rRNA from 1 species